GACGUAGGGCGCGAGCGUUGUCCGGAUUUAUUGGGCGUAAAGAGCUCGUAGGCGGCUUGUCGCGUCGUCCGUGAAAACCUGGGGCUCAACCCCAGGCUUGCGGUCGAUACGGGCAGGCUCGAGUUCGGUAGGGGAGACUGGAAUUCCUGGUGUAGCGGUGAAAUGCGCAGAUAUCAGGAGGAACACCGGUGGCGAAGGCGGUUCUCUGGGCCUUACCUGACGCUGAGGAGCGAAAGCGUGGGGAGCAAACAGG
rnacentral:rRNA from 1 species